rnacentral:tRNA from 1 species
CGGGGCGUGGCGCAGUGGUAGCGCACCUGCUUUGGGAGCAGGGGGUCCCCAGUUCGAGCCUGGGCGCCCCGA